CUGCGAUAAGUAAUGUGAAUUGCAGAAUUCAGUGAAUCAUCGAGUCUUUGAACGCACAUUGCGCCCCCUGGCAUUCCGGGGGGCAUGCCUGUCCGAGCGUCAUUGCUGCCCUUCAAGCCCGGCUUGUGUGUUGGGUCGUCGUCCCCCCCGGGGGACGGGCCCGAAAGGCAGCGGCGGCACCGCGUCCGGUCCUCGAGCGUAUGGGGCUUUGUCACCCGCUCGAUUAGGGCCGGCCGGGCGCCAGCCGGCGUCUCCAACCUUCUAUUUUACCAGGUUGACCUCGGAUCAGGUAGGGAUACCCGCUGAACUUAA
rnacentral:misc_RNA from 1 species